GUCCACGCCCUAACGAUGUCAACUGGUUGUUGGACGGCUUGCUGUUCAGUAACGAAGCUAACGCGUGAAGUUGACCGCCUGGGGAGUACGGCCGCAAGGUUGAACUCAAGGAAUUGACGGGACCCGCACAAGCGGUGGAUGAUGUGGUUUAAUUCGAUGCAACGCGAAACCUUACCUACCCUUGACAUGUCUAGAAGUUUCCAGAGAUGGAUUCGUGCUCGAAAGAGAACUAGAACACAGGUGCUGCAUGGCCGUCGU
rnacentral:rRNA from 1 species